rnacentral:rRNA from 1 species
CCUACGGUGGGCAGCAGUGAGGAAUAUUGGUCAAUGGCCGGAAGGCUGAACCAGCCAUGUCGCGUGAAGGUCAGUGCCCUAUGGGCGUUAAACUUCUUUUGUGCGGGAGCAAUAAUGGUCACGUGUGGCCAGACGAGAGUACCGUACGAAUAAGCAUCGGCUAACUCCGUGCCAGCAGCCGCGGUAAUACGGGGGAUGCAAGCGUUAUCCGGAUUUAUUGGGUUUAAAGGGUGCGUAGGCGGUGAGGUAAGUCAGCGGUGAAAUGCCCCCGCUCAACGGGGUGAAGUGCCAUUGAUACCUCCUUUCUGGAAUGCGGAUGCCGUGGGAGGAAUGUGUGGUGUAGCGGUGAAAUGCAUAGAUAUCACACAGAACACCGAUUGCGAAGGCAUCUCACGAAUCCGCGAUUGACGCUGAUGCACGAAAGCGUGGGUAUCAAACAGGAUUAGAUACCCUAGUAGUC